GACAAACGCUGGCGGCGUGCCUAAUACAUGCAAGUCGAACGCUUUUCUUUUCACCGGAGCUUGCUCCACCGAAAAGAAAAGAGUGGCGGACGGGUGAGUAACACGUGGGUAACCUGCCCUUCAGCGGGGGAUAACACUUGGAAACAGGUGCUAAUACCGCAUAAUUCUUCAUGCCGCAUGGCAAGAAGAUAAAAGAUGCUCCGGUAUCACUGAAGGAUGGACCCGCGCUGCAUUAGCUAGUUGGUGAGGUAACGGCUCACCAAGGCGAUGAUGCAUAGCCGACCUGAGAGGGUGAUCGGCCACACUGGGACUGAGACACGGCCCAGACUCCUACGGGAGGCAGCAGUAGGGAAUCUUCGGCAAUGGACGAAAGUCUGACCGAGCAACGCCGCGUGAGUGAAGAAGGUUUUCGGAUCGUAAAACUCUGUUGUUAGAGAAGAAUAAGCGUGAGAGUGACUGUUCACGCCUUGACGGUAUCUAACCAGAAAGCCACGGCUAACUACGUGCCAGCCGCCGCAGUAACAC
rnacentral:rRNA from 1 species